UGCAUUAGUGCUGGUAUGAUCGCA
rnacentral:siRNA from 1 species